CUCAGAAAGACUAAACUUUUCAUGUGAGCACUAAGGAGCUACAGGGAACUGCUGUGGAAAUCCUAACUUAGGAUCACUUAAAUCCCCAUGCACUGUGUCCCCCUCGAAGCACUCAAAUGAACACCCUUGCAUCUUGGCUGAGAUGACUGUACAUGGAAAAUUAACACCUAUCAAAUGGAGAAAAAACUUAAAAAGGACAGGAGGGGAAGGGAGCACUCCAUCCUUCACAUUUGGAUACAUGGAUGUACUCUAAAGAUCUUAGCUUGAACCCUUUUAUCAGCACAUAAAAUGAACUCAAUUUAAUAUUACAUACAGGAUACAAACACUACAGUUAUAUUCCCAAGACAGCACAAGAAAUUCACAGCCAAGUCUUGAUUCGAUUUCCUUUACAAGUACAAUGCAGUCUUGAACACUGGACGUGAGAGUCCAACAUGCUAUUUACAUUUCACAUUGUGGAGAUGUUUGUGUGCUUGGAAGAGUUCUCAGGUCCAAAAGAAAAUGUCAUUCGCACAUGAUGAUGCGGUGGAAAUAAACCAAGCCAACCAGACAAGCCAAUGACCACAUUUGUGCUUCCGAAAAAGUAGCAUGAAGAGUCUUCAGUGAAGCAGUCACCUUUGACCGGGCAGGUUGCUUUCCGUUUUGCAGUCACCAAGGUGUCCAGAGGCCAGUCUCAGCUGCCCUGAAAUCUGGACCCUUUUGUUAGCAACCAGUAACAUGAAUAAUGUUCCGAUAAUGUCAGCUGGGACACAGAGUGAUAUGGCCUUGGCGUUUUGUCACAUUAAAAAUGAAGACACGCACUGGAAGAGAGAAGUCUCUGCAGCUUUGCCUCCUACAGCUUGAAGAGUUUGGCCC